rnacentral:rRNA from 1 species
UAAGGAAUAUUGGUCAAUGGACGCAAGUCUGAACCAGCCAUGCCGCGUGAAGGAUGAAGGUCAUCUGGAUUGUAAACUUCUUUUAUCUGGGACGAAAACGGGAUUUUUAUCUCAAUUGACGGUACCAGAGGAAUAAGCACCGGCUAACUCCGUGCCAGCAGCCGCGGUAAUACGGAGGGUGCGAGCGUUAUCCGGAUUUACUGGGUUUAAAGGGUGCGUAGGUGGGCUUAUAAGUCAGUGGUGAAAUCUCCGAGCUUAACUUUGAAACUGCCGUUGAUACUAUAGGUCUUGAAUUAUCUGGAGGUAAGCGGAAUAUGUCAUGUAGCGGUGAAAUGCUUAGAUAUGACAUAGAACACCAAUUGCGAAGGCAGCUUACUACAUAUAAAUUGACGCUGUGGCACGAAAGCGUGGGGA